rnacentral:misc_RNA from 1 species
AAGGAGUCUAACAUCUAUGCGAGUGUUUGGGUGUCAAGCCCGGGCGCGUAAUGAAAGUGAACGGAGGUGGGAACCCUCUUCGGGGGGUGCACCAUCGACCGAUCCUGAUGUCUUCGGAUGGAUUUGAGUAAGAGCAUAGCUGUUGGGACCCGAAAGAUGGUGAACUAUGCUUGAAUGGGGUGAAGCCAGAGGAAACUCUGGUGGAGGCUCGCAGCGGUUCUGACGUGCAAAUCGAUCGUCAAAUUUGGGCAUAGGGGCGAAAGACUAAUCGAACUAUCUAGUAGCUGGUUCCUG